rnacentral:sRNA from 1 species
AUGGCCCAAUGGAAUCAGCUACAGCAGCUUGACACACGGUACCUGGAGCAGCUCCAUCAGCUCUACAGUGACAGCUUCCCAAUGGAGCUGCGGCAGUUUCUGGCCCCUUGGAUUGAGAGUCAAGAUUGGGCGUAUGCGGCCAGCAAAGAAUCACAUGCCACUUUGGUGUUUCAUAAUCUCCUGGGAGAGAUUGACCAGCAGUAUAGCCGCUUCCUGCAAGAGUCGAAUGUUCUCUAUCAGCACAAUCUACGAAGAAUCAAGCAGUUUCUUCAGAGCAGGUAUCUUGAGAAGCCAAUGGAGAUUGCCCGGAUUGUGGCCCGGUGCCUGUGGGAAGAAUCACGCCUCCUACAGACUGCAGCCACUGCAGCCCAGGUGAGACCUGAGACAAAACAAAUCCCUGGUCUGGGAGGAAUGGAAAAUCAAACAACUUUAUAAUGAGAGAAAUUAUUAGAUCUACUAAAGAAGAAGGAAAAGAAAUUAAAUAGAUCAAUAAUCAUAAAAAUACAUUGAAAAACUC